rnacentral:rRNA from 1 species
CCUACGGGUGGCAGCAGUGAGGAAUAUUGGUCAAUGGGCGCAAGCCUGAACCAGCCAAGUCGCGUGAGGGAUGACGGUCCUAUGGAUUGUAAACCUCUUUUGUCGGGGAGCAAGGCCCGCCACGUGUGGCGGGAAGGAGAGUACCCGAAGAAAAAGCCUCGUCUAACUCCGUGCCAGCAGCCGCGGUAAUACGGAGGAUGCGAGCGUUAUCCGGAUUUAUUGGGCUAAAGGGGUGCGUAGGCGGAAGAUUACGUCCGCGGGCAAAUGUCGGUGUGAAACAACGGCCUGCCGUUGAAACGGGUGUUCUUGAGUGAGCGAGAGGUAUGCGGAAUGCGUGGUGUAGCGGUGAAAUGCGUAGAUAUCACGCAGAACUACGAUUGCGAAGGCAGCAUACCGGCGCUCAACUGACGCUGAGGCACGAAAGCGUGGGGAUCGAACAGGAUUAGAUACCCCAGUAGUC